rnacentral:rRNA from 1 species
UACGUAGGGGGCAAGCGUUAUCCGGAAUCACUGGGUGUAAAGGGAGCGUAGACGGCAGGGCAAGCCUGGAGUGAAAGGCGGGGGCCCAACCCCCGGACUGCUCUGGGAACUGCCUAGCUUGAGUGCAGGAGAGGUAAGUGGAAUUCCUAGUGUAGCGGUGAAAUGCGUAGAUAUUAGGAGGAACACCAGUGGCGAAGGCGGCUUACUGGACUGUAACUGACGUUGAGGCUCGAAAGCGUGGGGAGCAAACAGG